rnacentral:rRNA from 1 species
CCUACGGGGGGCUGCAGUGGGGAAUAUUGGACAAUGGGGGCAACCCUGAUCCAGCCAUGCCGCGUGUGUGAAGAAGUCCCUCGGGUUGUAAAGCACUUUCAGUGAGGAAGAACGCCUGGUGGUUAAUACCCAUCAGGAAAGACAUCACUCACAGAAGAAGCACCGGCUAACUCCGUGCCAGCAGCCGCGGUAAUACGGAGGGUGCGAGCGUUAAUCGGAAUUACUGGGCGUAAAGCGCGCGUAGGUGGCUUGAUAAGCCGGUUGUGAAAGCCCCGGGCUCAACCUGGGAACGGCAUCCGGAACUGUCAAGCUAGAGUGCAGGAGAGGAAGGUAGAAUUCCCGGUGUAGCGGUGAAAUGCGUAGAGAUCGGGAGGAAUACCAGUGGCGAAGGCGGCCUUCUGGACUGACACUGACACUGAGGUGCGAAAGCGUGGGUAGCAAACAGGAUUAGAUACCCUAGUAGUC